UUGUCGAAUCCUGCCUAGCAGAAUGACCAGAGAACUAGUAACGAACUCAAUGGGGAUGGUGGGGUAUUUUCCCAUCGUCCCUAGACACGCUCGGAUCGCACGGGCGCCUAGAGCGCUCGGGCUUUUCUUGGCGGCACAACGAACCCCGGCGCGGAAUGCGCCAAGGAACUUGAACAAGAGAGCGAUGCUCCCAUCACCCCAGACAUGGCGCGUGUGUGGGAUGCCAUGCAAUCUCCUAUUAUUCAUAACGACUCUCGGCAACGGAUAUCUCGGCUCUCGCAUCGAUGRAGAACGCAGCRAACUGCGAUACUUGGUGUGAAUUGCAAAAUCCCGUGAAUCAUCGAGUCUUUGAACGCAAGUUGCGCCCGAAGCCAUCCUUUUGGACGGACGAGGGCACGUUUGCCUGGGUGUCACAAACGGCGUUGCCCUUAAUCCCUCGCCUUGAAUUGGGCGGGCGGGACUCGGGUGCGUAUGUUGGCCUCCCGCGACGAUUCUGUCCCGGUUGGCCGAAAAUCGAGCGCUGGAGCGAUUAGCACCACGACAUUCGGUGGUUGAUGAGACCCCAAUGAUCAAUGUCAUGCGCGUCGCUCGUGCAAGUGCUCCACGAAUCUACUCUUUACCAACGCGACCCCAGGUCAAGCGGGGCUACCCGCUGAGUUUAAGCAUAUCAAUAAGCGGAGGAA
rnacentral:rRNA from 1 species